rnacentral:rRNA from 1 species
UGCCUACGGGGCGCAGCAGUCGGGAAUAUUGCGCAAUGGAGGAAACUCUGACGCAGUGACGCCGCGUGCAGGAAGAAGGUUUUCGGAUUGUAAACUGCUUUAGACAGGGAAGAUAAUGACAGUACCUGUAGAAUAAGCUCCGGCUAACUACGUGCCAGCAGCCGCGGUAAUACGUAGGGAGCAAGCGUUAUCCGGAUUUACUGGGUGUAAAGGGGGCGCAGACGGCAAUGCAAGCCAGGAGUGAAAGCCCGGGGCCCAACCCCGGGACUGCUCUUGGAACUGCAUGGCUGGAGUACAGGAGGGGG